CAUCGCUGGAAGCCGGGGAAUUGUCACUGGGGUCACCGACACUUUUUCAUGCACUAUUCAAUAAGUUUCUGCCGUCGAACAACAAGGACGAGGAGGCAUAGCCGGUGGUGGACAUAUAUGGAUCGACCAGUUGUGGAUGUUUGAAUUCAAGGUAAAGCGAUGGACGAGGGGGAGGAUCCAUGAUUGAACGGAGUGCCCGUUUG
rnacentral:lncRNA from 1 species